GAUGAACGCUGGCGGCGUGCCUAAUACAUGCAAGUCGAGCGAACAGAUAAGGAGCUUGCUCCUUUGACGUUAGCGGCGGACGGGUGAGUAACACGUGGGUAACCUACCUAUAAGACUGGGAUAACUUCGGGAAACCGGAGCUAAUACCGGAUAACAUUUGGAACCGCAUGGUUCUAAAGUGAAAGAUGGUUUUGCUAUCACUUAUAGAUGGACCCGCGCCGUAUUAGCUAGUUGGUAAGGUAACGGCUUACCAAGGCAACGAUACAUAGCCGACCUGAGAGGGUGAUCGGCCACACUGGAACUGAGACACGGUCCAGACUCCUACGGGAGGCAGCAGUAGGGAAUCUUCCGCAAUGGGCGAAAGCCUGACGGAGCAACGCCGCGUGAGUGAUGAAGGGUUUCGGCUCGUAAAACUCUGUUAUUAGGGAAGAACAAAUGUGUAAGUAACUGUGCACGUCUUGACGGUACCUAAUCAGAAAGCCACGGCUAACUACGUG
rnacentral:rRNA from 1 species